CGGAUGAGCCGAGCGGCGGAGGUGAUGGUCCAGCACGUGGAGAACCUGAAGCGGCACCACCUGCGGGAGCACGCCGAGCUGGAGGAGAUGAAGCGCCUGAUCCAGCAAAACUCCCGCAACCGGCAGCUGGCCGAGACCCAGGAUGACGCGGAGCCACGGCUGAGGCCUCACCCCCUGAUGCGAUCCUUCCAGCAGGCGUCUGCCCGCCGCAGAGUCAGCAUCGCCGUCAUCCCCAAGCAGCUCUUGGUAAGGACCCGCACAGCACAGCGGGGACAGGAGGGGGCCGCGCCCCCGCCACCGGGCUCGGUGCCAUCAGGGGGGCUGCUCAAAAUCCCCCCUUUUUGUGCCCAGCCAGGUGCCAGCACGGACGGCCGAGCGUCCCCCGCCAGCGAGCCGGAGGGGUCCCAGCGCCCGGCCAGCACCCAGAGGAGCGAGCUGGAGCCACCGGGCCGGGGCAGCACCGUGAGCGGGGAGCCGGCGGCUGAGGCGGAUGGCAAGGACACGAGCGCAGGGGGCGAGGAGCCGGAGCAGCUUGGGCUGAUGUCCAAGGGGUCCGCGGCGGAGCUGUGGCGGCCGUGGCUCUUCCUCCCGCAGCACUACUGGGUUCUGUUCUGGCUGCUUCUCCUCAGCGUCGCCUUCCUCCUCCUCCUCCGCGUCCUGGAGCUGCAGCGGCUGCAGCCCGCGGCGUCGCCCAAGGCCUAGCUGCAGCGGGGGGGAGGCAGCUGGGGGGCACCCGCUCUCCAUCACUGCUCCUGCCCCCCGCCACGAAACACAGAGACCCUAGAGAAAUAAAAUCGGAGGCAGAAUUGGGGAGUUUUUGGAUGGAGCAGGCGGCGAUGCCCUGUGCUAGGAGCUGAGGGGGGCUGGAGCCAGCUUGCGGGCACGAAGCUGCAGCAGCCCCCAGCCCUGCCAGGGGUUUCCUUGUUCUCCCGGCACGCUGAGGGCUAUGGGGAUGUGCCCACGUGUCCCCUUUUCCCUGGGGACACAAACC
rnacentral:lncRNA from 1 species